rnacentral:rRNA from 1 species
CCUACGGUGGGCAGCAGUGAGGAAUAUUGGUCAAUGGGCGCGAGCCUGAACCAGCCAAGUAGCGUGAAGGAUGACUGCCCUACGGGUUGUAAACUUCUUUUAUUAAGGAAUAAAGUGAGUCACGUGUGCCUUUUUGUAUGUACUUUAUGAAUAAGGAUCGGCUAACUCCGUGCCAGCAGCCGCGGUAAUACGGAGGAUCCGAGCGUUAUCCGGAUUUAUUGGGUUUAAAGGGAGCGUAGAUGGGUUGUUAAGUCAGUGGUGAAAGUUUGUGGCUCAACCGUAAAAUUGCAAUUGAUACUGGCAGUCUUGAGUACAGUUGAGGUAGGCGGAAUUCGUGGUGUAGCGGUGAAAUGCUUAGAUAUGACGAAGAACUCCGAUUGCGAAGGCAGCGUACUAAACUGACACUGACAUUGAUGCUCGAAAGUGUGGGUAUCAAACAGGAUUAGAUACCCUGGUAGUC